rnacentral:rRNA from 1 species
AUUGAACGCUGGCGGCAGGCUUAACACAUGCAAGUCGAGCGGAGAUGAGGUGCUUGCACCUUAUCUUAGCGGCGGACGGGUGAGUAAUGCUUAGGAAUCUGCCUAUUAGUGGGGGACAACAUUCCGAAAGGAAUGCUAAUACCGCAUACGCCCUACGGGGGACAGCAGGGGAUCUUCGGACCUGGCGCUAAUAGAUGAGCCUAAGUCGGAUUAGCUAGUUGGUGGGGUAAAGGCCUACCAAGGCGACGAGCUGUAGCGGGUCUGAGAGGAUGAUCCGCCACACUGGGACUGAGACACGGCCCAGACUCCUACGGGAGGCAGCAGUGGGGAAUAUUGGACAAUGGGCGGAAGCCUGAUCCAGCCAUGCCGCGUGUGUGAAGAAGGCCUUUUGGUUGUAAAGCACUUUAAGCGAGGAGGAGGCUACCUGGAUUAAUACUCUAGGAUAGUGGACGUUACUCGCAGAAUAAGCACCGGCUAACUCUGUGCCAGCCGCCGCAGUAAGAC